UACGGAGGGUGCAAGCGUUAAUCGGAAUCACUGGGCGUAAAGCGCACGUAGGCGGCAUCGUAAGUCAGAUGUGAAAGCCCUGGGCUCAACCCGGGAACGGCAUUUGAGACUGCGUCGCUCGAGUCUGGGAGAGGGGGGUGGAAUUCCAGGUGUAGCGGUGAAAUGCGUAGAGAUCUGGAGGAACACCAGUGGCGAAGGCGGCCCCCUGGCGCAAGACUGACGCUGAGGUGCGAAAGCGUGGGGAGCAAACAGG
rnacentral:rRNA from 1 species